rnacentral:piRNA from 1 species
UNUAUCAGUCAUUGUUCUCCCCAAGCCUG